AUGAAGAAUUUCAAUCCAGCAGCUGUCGAGGAAGAGAGGGCGGCGAUGGUGCCGCCGCCUCCUGCAGCCCGGGAGGAGAUCGUCGAUGAUCCGCCGGCGGAGCAUCAGCCGUCGCCGUCAUCGGCAACGAAGCCGUGCUGGAAGACGACGACGAGCAGCGGCGCUGGAGUGGUCAUCGGCACCCUUAUGUUUCUUGCUUUGCUCGUCGGCACCAAUUGGAUCCACCAUGACGCUGGUUACUACUCGUUCCACCCGGUCACCGACGGCGGCAGUUUCAGUCGGCAUGGACGUGCUACUGGCCGCACCCGCUCAUCCACGGCGCCCCUCGUACACAUACCCUUCAGCUGCGGCAACGACACGUCGUCCCCGUCACUCUGCCGCCGCCGCGCAUCACCGCCAGCACCAUCACCAUCACCAUCAUCAUCCUCAUCAUCACAGAAACAAUACUCCCCGGGCGUGCCGCCACCUUGGUGCCCGGACUACUUCCGCCACAUCCACGCGGACAUGGAGCCGUGGCGCCCAACGGGGAUCACGCGAGACGCGGUGGAGCGCGCCCGGCCCAGUGCGGAGUUCCGGCUCGUGGUGGUCUCCGGGCGCGCCUACGUGGAGAAGUAUCGCCCAUCGUUUCAGAGGCGGGAUAUCUUAACGCAGUGGGGCAUCCUGCAGCUGCUCGCCCGCUACCCCGACCGCGUGCCGGACGUCGACAUCAUGUUCGGCACCGGCGACGUGCCCGUGUUGCGCGCCGCCGACUACCCUGACCAUUCCACCGCGCCGCCGCUCUUCCGCUACUGCAAGGACGGGACGGAGCUGGCCAUCCUCUGGCCCGACUGGUCCUUCUGGGGCUGGCCUGAGGUCAACGUUCGGCCAUGGGGGGCGCUAAUGGAGGACUUCGUCCGAGAGAACGGGCGCCUGUCGUGGCCAGACAGGGAGCCCUACGCGUUCUGGAAGGGCAACCCCGACGUCUCGCCGGUCCGCCGCGACCUCUUCCGGUGCAACAACGACUCCGCCGCCGGCAAGGAAUGGAACGUGCGGGCGUUCAAGCAGGACUGGAACGCCGCCCACCGCAACGGCUUCAGGGACUCCGACCUGGCGAAGCAGUGCCGGUACAGGUACAAGAUCUACGUGCAGGGACGGGCGUGGUCGGUGAGCGAGAAGUACAUCCUCGCCUGCGACUCGCCGAUGCUGGCCAUCGACACGCCCUUCCAGGACUUCUUCACCCGGGGGCUAGUCGCCGGCAAGCACUACUGGCCCAUCGACCCGGCGCGCAAGUGCGCCGCCAUCAAGUUCGCCGUGGACUGGGGCAACGCUCACCCAGGGCAGGCGCGGCGUAUGGGAGAAGAAGGCAGCGGGUUCGCGAGGGAGGAGAUGGGCAUGGACUACGUAUACGAGUACAUGCUCCACGUGCUGACGCAGUACAGUGCGCUGCUCCGGUACAAGCCCACCGUGCCCGAGAAAGCCGUGGAGGUCUGCGUCGAGUCCAUGGCCUGCCCCAGACGUGGCCGUGAGAGGGAGUUCAUGAUGGAGUCCAGGGAGAGGUACGUGGCCGGGCGCGAGCUGUGCACGCUGCCGCCGCCGUUCACUACCGAGGAGGUAAGGGAAAUGGCUGUCAGGGACGAGCAGGUGCGAAGCAAACUACUCCAGAUGGAGGAGGGACACUAG
rnacentral:rRNA from 1 species